AAACACAUGCAAGUCGAACGGGGACCUUCGGGUCUUACGUGGCGCACGGGUGAGUAACGCGUGGGAAUCUACCCCAAAGUCGGGGAUAACCGCUGGAAACGGCGGCUAAUACCGGAUACGCCCUGCGGGGCAAAGCUUUUGCGCUUUGGGAGGAGCCCGCGUCCGAUUAGCUAGUUGGUGGGGUAAAGGCCUACCAAGGCUGCGAUCGGUAGCUGGUCUGAGAGGAUGAUCAGCCACACUGGGACUGAGACACGGCCCAGACUCCUACGGGAGGCAGCAGUGGGGAAUCUUGGACAAUGGGGGCAACCCUGAUCCAGCCAUGCCGC
rnacentral:rRNA from 1 species